GAUGAACGCUGGCGGCGUGCCUAAUACAUGCAAGUCGAGCGAACAGACGAGGAGCUUGCUCCUCUGACGUUAGCGGCGGACGGGUGAGUAACACGUGGAUAACCUACCUAUAAGACUGGGAUAACUUCGGGAAACCGGAGCUAAUACCGGAUAAUAUAUUGAACCGCAUGGUUCAAUAGUUAAAGACGGUUUUGCUGUCACUUAUAGAUGGAUCCGCUCUGCAUUGGCUAGUUGGUAAGGUAACGGCUUACCAAGGCAACGAUGCGUAGCCGACCUGAGAGGGUGAUCGGCCACACUGGAACUGAGACACGGUCCAGACCCCUACGGGAGGCAGCAGUAGGGAAUCUUCCGCAAUGGGCGAAAGCCUGACGGAGCAACGCCGCGUGAGUGAUGAAGGUCUUCGGAUCGUAAAACUCUGUUAUUAGGGAAGAACAAAUGUGUAAGUAACUAUGCACGUCUUGACGGUACCUAAUCAGAAAGCCACGGCUAACUACGUG
rnacentral:rRNA from 1 species